ACGAAGGGGGCUAGCGUUGCUCGGAAUCACUGGGCGUAAAGGGCGCGCAGGCGGCGUUUUAUGUCGGGGGUGAAAGCUUGUGGCUUAACCACAGAGUGGCUUUCGAUACUGGGACGCUUGAGUAUGGUAGAGGAAGGUGGAAUUGCGAGUGGAGAGGUGAAAUUCGUAGAUAUUCGCAAGAACACCGGUGGCGAAGACGGCCAACUGGACCAUCACUGACGCUGAGGCGCGAAAGCGUGGGUAGCAAACAG
rnacentral:rRNA from 1 species